GCUGGAGUGAGGCUCCGGAGACUGUUGAGGGAUGCUGGUGGCUUCAGGGUCCCUGUACUGCUUUGCUGCUCUCUCCACCCAGGCUCAUUCUCAGUGACCUCCUGGGCCCUCCCCUUGUGGCCCGGAAGUUUCAGGCACGUGACCAUGUCUGGAUCUUCCUCUUGGAGAUUUGUGACAUUUGCCCAGUGGCUCAAGUAGAACUGCUUGGUGGGUGUCCUGGCUUUCUGCCUCCCAGCCGUGGGCACCCCACACAGGGGCAGCAGACAGGAGCUCCUCAAGGCGUGGAGGGCCCCACUAACAGACCCAGCGGUGUGCGGGACCCUUCCUCCCCACACUGAGCAUCGCAGCUGUGGGAGGGAAGCGCUCGCUCUGCGGGGCCACGGCGCGUCCUGGCUUCCGAGGUGAUGGGGUGUCCAGCCUGGCGAGGACAACGAGCACGCGCGGGGACUCCGUUGCCCGAGUCUGGGGGCCGCCCUGGUGACCUCUACAUCGCCGUCCCGAGGUAUCUGGCGGCUGCUCCGGGC